rnacentral:rRNA from 1 species
UCCAGACUCCUACGGGAGGCAGCAGUGGGGAAUAUUGCGCAAUGGGGGCAACCCUGACGCAGCAACGCCGCGUGAUUGAAGAAGGCCUUCGGGUUGUAAAGAUCUUUAAUCAGGGACGAAAAAUGACGGUACCUGAAGAAUAAGCUCCGGCUAACUCCGUGCCAGCAGCCGCGGUAAUACGGAGGAUGCGAGCGUUAUCCGGAUUUAUUGGGUUUAAAGGGGGCGCAGGCGGCCUGUUAAGUCAGCGGUAAACGGCGGGUCCCCAACCCGGGCGAGCCGGUGAAACUGGCGGGCUGGAGUUGGAGAGAAGUACGCGGAAUGCGCGGUGUAGCGGUGAAAUGCUUAGAUAUCGCGCAGAACCCCGAUUGCGAAGGCAGCGUACCGGCUCCACACUGACGCUGAGGCACGAAAGCGUGGGUAUCGAACAGGAUUAGAUACCCGCGUA